rnacentral:rRNA from 1 species
CCUACGGGUGGCAGCAGUGGGGAAUAUUGCACAAUGGGCGCAAGCCUGAUGCAGCCAUGCCGCGUGUGUGAAGAAGGCCUUCGGGUUGUAAAGCACUUUCAGCGGGGAGGAAGGCGGUGAGGUUAAUAACCUCAUCGAUUGACGUUACCCGCAGAAGAAGCACCGGCUAACUCCGUGCCAGCAGCCGCGGUAAUACGGAGGGUGCAAGCGUUAAUCGGAAUUACUGGGCGUAAAGCGCACGCAGGCGGUCUGUCAAGUCGGAUGUGAAAUCCCCGGGCUCAACCUGGGAACUGCAUUCGAAACUGGCAGGCUAGAGUCUUGUAGAGGGGGGUAGAAUUCCAGGUGUAGCGGUGAAAUGCGUAGAGAUCUGGAGGAAUACUGGUGGCGAAGGCGGCCCCCUGGACAAAGACUGGCGCUCAGGUGCGAAAGCGUGGGGAGCAAACAGGAUUAGAUACCCUAGUAGUC